rnacentral:tRNA from 1 species
GCGGGCGUGGUGGAAUGGUAGACACACCGGACUUAAAAUCCGGAGGAGGUAGCUCCGUGCGGGUUCGAGUCCCGCCGCCCGCACCA